rnacentral:rRNA from 1 species
GUGCCAGCAGCCGCGGUAAAACGUAGGAGGCAAGCGUUAUCCGGAGUUACUGGGCGUAAAGCGCGUGUAGGUGGAUUGGUAAGUUACUUAUGAAAGCCCUUGGCUAAACUAAGGGAGGUUGAGUGAUACUGCCAGUCUUGAAUAGAGGAGAGGUUGACGGAAUUCCGCGUGUAGUGGUGAAAUGCGUAGAGAUGCGGAAGAACACCAGUGGCGAAGGCGGUCAACUGGCCUCAUAUUGACACUCAGACGCGACAGCAUGGGUAGCGAACGGGAUUAGAUACCCCCGUAGUCC